UACGUAGGUGGCGAGCGUUGUCCGGAUUUACUGGGCGUAAAGAGCGCGCAGGCGGUCGGUCAAGUCGCGUGUGAAAGCCCCCGGCUCAACUGGGGAGGGUCACGCGAUACUGAUCGACUCGAAGGCAGGAGAGGGAAGUGGAAUUCCCGGUGUAGUGGUGAAAUGCGUAGAUAUCUGGAGGAACACCGGUGGCGAAGGCGGCAUCCUGGACCAAUACUGACACUGAGGAGCGAAAGCCAGGGGAGCAAACGGG
rnacentral:rRNA from 1 species